rnacentral:rRNA from 1 species
GACGAACGCUGGCGGCGUGCCUAAUACAUGCAAGUAGAACGCACAGUUUAUACCGUAGCUUGCUACACCAUAGACUGUGAGUUGCGAACGGGUGAGUAACGCGUAGGUAACCUGCCUGGUAGCGGGGGAUAACUAUUGGAAACGAUAGCUAAUACCGCAUAAUAUUAAUUAUUGCAUGAUAAUUAAUUGAAAGGUGCAAUUGCACCACUACCAGAUGGACCUGCGUUGUAUUAGCUAGUAGGUGAGGUAACGGCUCACCUAGGCGACGAUACAUAGCCGACCUGGGAGGGUGAUCGGCCACACUGGGAAUGAGACACGGCCCAGACUCCUACGGGAGGCAGCAGUAGGGAAUCUUCGGCAAUGGACGAAAGUCUGACCGAGCAACGCCGCGUGAGUGAAGAAGGUUUUCGGAUCGUAAAGCUCUGUUGUAAGAGAAGAACGGGUGUGAGAGUGGAAAGUUCACACUGUGACGGUAUCUUACCAGAAAGGGACGGCUAACUACGUG